rnacentral:rRNA from 1 species
CAGUAGCCACGGUAAUACGGAGGGUGCAAGCGUUAAUCGGAAUUACUGGGCGUAAAGCGCACGCAGGCGGUCUGACAAGUCAGAUGUGAAAUCCCCGGGCUUAACCUGGGAACUGCAUUUGAAACUGUCAGGCUGGAGUCUUGUAGAGGGGGGUAGAAUUCCAGGUGUAGCGGUGAAAUGCGUAGAUAUAGGAAGGAACACCAGUGGCGAAGGCGACCACCUGGACUGAUACUGACACUGAGGUGCGAAAGCGUGGGGAGCAAACAGGAUUAGAUACCCCGGUAGUCCCUGUCUCUUAUAC